rnacentral:rRNA from 1 species
UUUUUGAUUUAAUUUAAAGUCCAAUCUGCCCACUGAUUUUAAUUGAAGGGCUGCAGUAAUUUGACUGUACAAAGGUAGCAUAAUCAAUAGUCUUUUAAUUGAAGACUUGUAUGAAGGAUUAGAUGAAAUAUAAACUGUCUCUAAUUUAUAAUUAAAAUUUAAUUUUUUAGUUAAAAAGCUAAAAUAUAUUUAAAAGACGAGAAGACCCUAUAGAGUUUAAUAAUUUUUAAUUUUAAGUAUUUAUAUAAAAUUUUAAUAUUAAAAAUUAUGAAAUUAUUUUAUUGGGGUGAUAAAAAAAUUUAAUAAACUUUUUUUUUAUAUAUCAUAAAUAAGUGAAUUAAUGAUCCUAAAUAAAGAUUAUAAGAAAAAAUUACCUUAGGGAUAACAGCGUAAUAUUUUUUUUUAGUACAAAUAAAAAAAAAAGUUUGCGACCUCGAUGUUGGAUUAAGAUAAAAUUUAAAUGCAAAAGUUUAAAAUUUUGAUCUGUUCGAUCAUUAAAAUCUUAC